rnacentral:rRNA from 1 species
AGCGAACGCUGGCGGCAGGCCUAACACAUGCAAGUCGAACGAACUCUUCGGAGUUAGUGGCGGACGGGUGAGUAACACGUGGGAACGUGCCCUUUGGUACGGAAUAACUCAGGGAAACUUGAGCUAAUACCGUAUGUGCCCUUCCGGGGAAAGAUUUAUCGCCAUUGGAGCGGCCUGCGUCUGAUUAGCUAGUUGGUGAGGUAAAGGCUCACCAAGGCUACGAUCAGUAGCUGGUCUGAGAGGAUGAUCAGCCACAUUGGGACUGAGACACGGCCCAAACUCCUACGGGAGGCAGCAGUGGGGAAUCUUGCGCAAUGGGCGAAAGCCUGACGCAGCCAUGCCGCGUGAAUGAUGAAGGUCUUAGGAUUGUAAAAUUCUUUCACCGGGGACGAUAAUGACGGUACCCGGAGAAGAAGCCCCGGCUAACUUCGUG